GAGGGGCCCGCGCCCGAUUAGCUUGUUGGUAGGGUAACGGCCUACCAAGGCUUUGAUCGGUAGCCGGUCUGAGAGGAUGGCCGGCCACACUGGAACUGAGACACGGUCCAGACUCCUACGGGAGGCAGCAGGGGGGAAUCUUGCGCAAUGGGCGAAAGCCUGACGCAGCGACGCCGCGUGGGGGAUGAAGCCUUUCGGGGUGUAAACCCCUUUCGACCCGGACGAAUGGCCCGCAAGGGAAUUGACGGUACGGGUAGAAGAAGCCCCGGCUAACUACGUGCCAGCAGCCGCGGUAAGACGUAGGGGGCCAGCGUUGCUCGGAAUUACUGGGCGUAAAGGGUCCGUAGGCGGUGCGGCAAGUCGGGGGUGAAAUCUCUGGGCUUAACUCAGAGGCUGCCUCCGAAACUGCCGUGCUCGAGUGCGGGAGAGGCGAGCGGAAUUGCAGGUGUAGCGGUGAAAUGCGUAGAUAUCUGCAGG
rnacentral:rRNA from 1 species